rnacentral:lncRNA from 1 species
CUCCAUCAUGUGAAGAAAUAAUUUUAUCACUUAAAAAUAAAGAGAUCACAAUUAAUGAAUAAGUUACAAUAUCGCACUAAACUUAUAUGAAGAUUGUUUGGAAAUAAAUUAAAAUUUAAAUAAGAAAUAACGUAAUAUAUAUUUAUAAUAGAUUUAUAUUUUUACAUAUUAACUUUUUAAAGAAUUAAAAAAAUCAUAGAUGAGAGGCAAUAGUUCUACCAUGGUAACAUGCUAAUACCAGUGUUGAAAAACUCGUACCAGCCGGUUCAACCGAAAAACUGGUGAAUCAGACCCCUUACCAAUACAGGAUGGUUGUUAUACUGGGUAUGCACUAGAUCCGGUGGAAACCAGCCAAAACCGGCCAAUAUUCCUUAAAACCAAUGAACCAACCUAGUUAGCACUGAACCGUCCGGUUGUUGCAUUAAAAAAAAAAGAACCCAACCUAGGCAUUGAACCAGCUGUUGUGAAGAAUUUGGAGACAUAGAGGGAGAAGUGAAAGUGAGAAAGAGAUAAGGGAGAAAAAACGUGUGAGAGAGAAGGGAAGAAAGAGAAGGGAAAGGGAGAGAGAAGAGAAAGAUGUUGUUGGGAAAAACGAAAGAACGUAAGAAAGAGAAGGGAGAGAGACCGUGCUGGGGGAAAGAAUAAAGUGAGAGAGAGAAUGACAUUGUAUUUGACAUGUGGACG